GUUCAGCUGCAUUCAGAACCAUUUCUUUUCGCAUUUGUGCCAAACCAGGGGUUGAGUUUGAUGUGGUCUCCACUCAAAACAAUGGCAACAGAUGCUGGAGAUCAGAUUCAAAUUUGAAAAGAGCAUUUUGGCCACUCCCAAACUUUGAGGAAAACGCCCAAGCACACCAGGACAACGCUCAAAGUCCAGGAAUCACGCGAAACACACACUUAGAGCGGGUUUAGCGUGCUUUUACAUGCAUUUGAACACAUAAGCGCACGACUUAAGCGAUCAAGUCAUGCAUGCAUACAAAUAAAAUGCACAAAUUGGAAGCACAUGGACACAAGAAUCCACCGGCCACUCCCUGCGUGCAUGUUCUAGAUCUCCCAUACAUUUGCUUUUACAUGCAGUGAGUUGAUGUACAGAUUUGUGCGUGGGUUUGCAUUACGCAAAGCACGUUUUCCAAUGCACAGGGCUUGAUUGUGUCAAAAAUGCAUGACUUCCUCGCGCGAUUUUUCAAAUGUAGUGCAUCACGCGCAACGCACAUUAAAAGCACAAAAUGAACGCUAAACACCAGCAACGUCAACUAGAAGCCCGUGUUGACAGAAAAACGCGACACUUAGCAACUCUAGAAGAGAAAACCACACGCAUAGAUCACAUGGCCAUCAGGUAUCCUAUGGCGGUUGGUCUUAACAAAGGCCAUCCAGUGACCAAAAACGUUGCCAAGCCCAAGCAGAGCCGCAGGCGAGGGGUAAGUCUGUGCUUGACACAGUUAUGGAUAGUUAUUAUAAAGUUAUUAUGAAUGUUGCAUGCGCUUCCUCAGUAUUUAUGUCUCGUUUUCCAAUACAAAUGUCUGAACAGCCAUAAAUCAAGAAACUUGAGAUGCAAAAUGAAGCGAGUUUAUGCUUAAAACAAGAACAAUAAUCUGUCAUAACACUUGUUUUGGCUUUGAAUGAAGGCAGAUAUUUGUUCUUGGCUUAAUCAUAAAAUAACUUCGUUUAUUAGACAUUUUAUGUGGUUUUGCGUCAAACAAAUGCGUCUUUAGACAUUUGCACUGGAAAACGAAACGCAAAUAUUGAGGAAGGACAUCAAUUUUUUCAAAUAUACAGAUAUUUUACAGUGUUAUCAGAAGGUACAGUAACAGUUAUUUCCAUAUUCUAGUGUUUUUCUGUUUGUAAAAUGAAUUAAAUAGUAAUGAAGAUCUAUUGAAAGUUGCAUCUUCCAGCUAUAUUGUGCUGGUAAUACAAGACCAUAUUAACAUUGUCUUCCUUUUAAAGUUUCUUUAUUUGCACUAAACAUGUCUUAAACUUGCCUUCAUGAAACCAACAGAAAGCCUGGAGUUUCUCCCACUAUGCACUAUUAUAUCACUAGCUAUGUUUCCAUUAGUGGUCGACCGAUAUUGUUUUUUUUGUACAUCCGAUGCCGAUAUCUUGGAAACCAGGGUGGCCGAUAUAAUUGUAUUUAUUUUAAUUAAUAUUUAAGA
rnacentral:lncRNA from 1 species